CGGAUUGCAGGCUGCAACCCGCCUGCAUGAAGUUGGAAUUGCUAGUAAUCGCGGAUCAGCAUGCCGCGGUGAAUACGUUCCCUGGCCUUGUACACACCGCCCGUCACACCAUGGGAGCCGGUAAUACCCGAAGUCAGUAGCCUAACCGCAAGGGGGGCGCUGCCGAAGGUAGGAUUGGCGACUGGGGUGAAGUCGUAACAAGGUACC
rnacentral:rRNA from 1 species